AUACGGAGGAUGCAAGCGUUAUCCGGAUUUAUUGGGUUUAAAGGGUGCGUAGGCGGAUGAUUAAGCGUGAGGUGAAAUGCCACUGCUCAACAGUGGAACUGCCUCGCGAACUGGUUGUCUUGAAUGCUCCUGCCGUGGGAGGAAUGUGUGGUGUAGCGGUGAAAUGCAUAGAGAUUACACAGAACACCGAUUGCGAAGGCAUCUCACGAAGGGUUGAUUGACGCUGAGGCACGAAAGCGUGGGGAUCAAACAGGAUUAGAUACCUGGCAGUCCACGCAGUAAACGAUGAUGGCUAACCGCUGGGCUUAUCAGUUCAGUGGCCAAGCGAAAGCGAUAAGCCAUCCACCUGGGGAGUACGACCGCAAGGUUGAAACUCAAAUGAAUUGACGGGG
rnacentral:rRNA from 1 species